AGAACGAACGCUGGCGGCAGGCUUAACACAUGCAAGUCGAACGCUUGGGGCAACCUGAGAGUGGCAGACGGGUGAGUAACACGUGGGAACGUACCCUUUGGUUCGGAAUAACCCUGGGAAACUAGGGCUAAUACCGGAUACGGCCGAGAGGCGAAAGGUUUACUGCCGAAGGAGCGGCCCGCGUCCGAUUAGCUUGUUGGUGAGGUAAAGGCUCACCAAGGCGACGAUCGGUAGCUGGUCUGAGAGGAUGACCAGCCACAUUGGGACUGAGACACGGCCCAAACUCCUACGGGAGGCAGCAGUGGGGAAUAUUGGACAAUGGGCGCAAGCCUGAUCCAGCCAUGCCGCGUGAGUGAUGAAGGCCUUAGGGUUGUAAAGCUCUUUUACCCGGGAAGAUAGUGACGGUACCGGGAGAAUAAGCCCCGGCUAACUUCGCGCCAGCAGCCGC
rnacentral:rRNA from 1 species